AUAGAAUAAGCAAUGCAACCUCCAAGUUGAUCUAAUGUCUUGUUAAAUUUUUUUUAUUUUAACUUGUAAACAAACAAAUCUGUAUUUUAUUUUUUACAAGAUAUGAAGAUUUGCUUGCUUUCCAUUGUGCAUGUAUAUUUGAUAAAUUGAUAAUAGACAAUAUGCUUGUCAAUUGAUAAGAUUGACUUAAUUCAGGAGUCAUUUACCAAGGAAAAAUAGUAUAUCAUUAAUAUAAAUUAAAAAAAAAAUACUUGUU
rnacentral:misc_RNA from 1 species